AUUGAACGCUAGCGGCAGGCUUAACACAUGCAAGUCGAGCGAGCGGCGGACGGGUGAGUAAUAUCUGGGAAACUGCCUGGUAGCGGGGGAUAACUACUGGAAACGGUGGCUAAUACCGCAUACCAUCAGAUGUGCCGAUAUGGGAUUAGCUAGUAGGUGGGGUAAAGGCUCACCUAGGCGACGAUCCCUAGCUGGUCUGAGAGGAUGACCAGCCACACUGGAACUGAGACACGGCCCAGACUCCUACGGGAGGCAGCAGUGGGGAAUAUUGGACAAUGGGCGAAAGCCUGAUGCAGCCAUCCCGCGUGUGUGAAGAAGGCCUUCGGGUUGUAAAGUACUUUCAGCGGGGAGGCGUUACUCGCAGAAGAAGCACCGGCUAACUCCGUGCCAGCAGCCGCGGUAAUUC
rnacentral:rRNA from 1 species